rnacentral:rRNA from 1 species
UACAGAGACUGCAAGCGUUAUUCGGAUUCACUGGGCGUAAAGGGUGCGUAGGCGGUUGGGUGUGUCAGAUGUGAAAUCCCGAGGCUUAACCUCGGAACUGCGUCUGAAACUACUCGACUAGAGUACUGGAGAGGGUAACGGAAUUCACGGUGUAGCAGUGAAAUGCGUAGAUAUCAAAAGGAACACCUGAGGUGAAGACGGGUUGCUGGGCUGACACUGACGCUGAGGCGCGAAAGCCAGGGGAGCAAACGGG